AUGAACGCUGGCGGCUUGCCUAAUACAUGCCCGUCGAGCGCACGGACGAGAAGCUUGCUUCUCUGAUGUUAGCGGCGGACGGGUGAGUAACACGUGGAUAACCUACCUAUAAGACUGGGAUAACUUCGGGAAACCGGAGCUAAUACCGGAUAAUAUUUUGAACCGCAUGGUUCAAAAGUGAAAGACGGUCUUGCUGUCACUUAUAGAUGGAUCCGCGCUGCAUUAGCUAGUUGGUAAGGUAACGGCUUACCAAGGCAACGAUGCAUAGCCGACCUGAGAGGGUGAUCGGCCACACUGGAACUGAGACACGGUCCAGACUCCUACGGGAGGCAGCAGUAGGGAAUCUUCCGCAAUGGGCGAAAGCCUGACGGAGCAACGCCGCGUGAGUGAUGAAGGUCUUCGGAUCGUAAAACUCUGUUAUUAGGGAAGAACAUAUGUGUAAGUAACUGUGCACAUCUUGACGGUACCUAAUCAGAAAGCCACGGCUAACUACGUG
rnacentral:rRNA from 1 species